rnacentral:rRNA from 1 species
UACGGAAGGCAGCAGUGGGGAAUAUUGCACAAUGGGCGCAAGCCUGAUGCAGCCAUGCCGCGUGUAUGAAGAAGGCCUUCGGGUUGUAAAGUACUUUCAGUCGUGAGGAAGGUGUUAAGGUUAAUAACCUUAGCAAUUGACGUUAGCGACAGAAGAAGCACCGGCUAACUCCGUGCCAGCAGCCGCGGUAAUACGGAGGGUGCGAGCGUUAAUCGGAAUUACUGGGCGUAAAGGGCACGCAGGCGGUUAAUUAAGUUGGAUGUGAAAUCCCCGGGCUUAACCUGGGAAUGGCAUUCAAGACUGGUUAGCUAGAGUCUUGUAGAGGGGGUAGAAUUCCGAUGUGUAGCGGUGAAUGCGUAGAGAUGUGGAGGAAUACCGGUGGCGAAGGCGGCCCCUGGACAAGACUGACGCUCAUGUGCGAAAGCGUGGGGAGCAAA